CUCUCGGUGCCAGGGUGGAAACCGAGUGGCUGGACAGAGCUGGGUGACCGGAGGUGCGAGGUCGUCAGCUCAGCACAAGCUCGCCUGCGGCCUCGGGACUUAUCUCCCCAGCUCAGGGUGGCUGUGUUUUAUUGUGUGUUAGGCAGCUGUAAGGAACCUGACUGGAGAGAAACGCCAGAGGAUUAACAGCUCAGAACAAGCGCGGCCUGUGCCUGUGCACCCCACGCUGCCUAGGGGAUGCAGUCCCCGAGACUCCUAAGCCCAAGUGCUCUCUGCUCCCCUGGUGGGCGCCUGUCUUCUGGGCGAGCAGUCAGCGGUGACCGCCCGCUCCUUAGCUCUCUCUCUGCUCAUAGCGCACCCCUGCCAAGCUGACUGUGCACCCUGUCGGAUCCAGCUCCCUGAAGCCCAGGCCAGCCUGACUUCCCCGUCUUCUCACAGCUGCAGCCCACAGUGACCUCCCAGCUCUCCCCUUGUAGAGUGGCGUUGCUAGGACGCCUCAGUGGACAAUCGCACUGCCUUGCUGCACGAAAAUUGAAUCUUGAGUCUUGGGACAGCCCCUUGGCCCCCUGCAGAGGCUCCGCAGAAGAAUGAUGACUACAGUAAUCGACAAAGAAUGCCUUUUCGCCUGUCCCUAAAAGUUAGGGCCUGAAAACCCUGCACUUACCCAAGGUACUUUUUACAGUACAGGCUCCUGCUCUCCAGUCUGAACUUGGGCAAAGCAUUUUAGCCAGAGCCUCAGAUGCCUUAGCCUCCCUGUGGUUUGAAAACUACCCUAAAUUAACAUAAAAGAAAGUCUGGAUUUUUCCCUUAGAUAUGUGUUUCUCCAAAGGAAGCAGUGGAUGAUUUUAGGUGGAACUCAGCUACUCGCUGCCAUAUACACAGGAAAAUGCUCCAACUUGUAAUUUGCAUGGAGAUUUAAGAGAAAUCUAAUACCAACAUUUGCUAUGAAUAAAAGGGAAGCCUCUUGUUAUGGUUUAUACCUAAAUGUUCCCCCAAAGCCUCAUGUGCACAUGGUGGGACUUUUGAGGAGUAGCUGGAUCAUAGGAAUGAGAUACUGGAUUAAGGGUGUGCUGACUGGUUAAGACCCCUGAUUGGUUUAGCAUGCUUCUGGGUGCAGACAAUGGCAAGGCCCACCCUGGGUGUGAGGGGCACCAACCAAUAGGCUGGUAACCCAAGCGGAAGAAAAAGUAAAGAGAAGCUCACUGCUGCUGUUUUGCUGCCUCCUGCCUUCCAUGCCAUAGACAGUUUCUCCUCUCCAGGCCCCUCUGCCAUCUUACCCCACCCCACCCCUGAAGCCAAUUGGCUGUGCACCAAAACACCUACAACCUGUGAGCGAAAAAUAAACCUUUCCUCCUUU